GGGCGUCUAGCUCAAAUGGUAGAGCGCGUGCUUAGCAUGCACGAGGUACACGGUUCGAUCCCGUGGUCGUCCA
rnacentral:tRNA from 2 species